rnacentral:rRNA from 1 species
GAUGAACGCUAGCGGCAGGCUUAAUACAUGCAAGUCGUGGGGCAGCAGGGGUGUAGCAAUACAUCUGCUGGCGACCGGCAAACGGGUGCGUAACACGUACGCAACCUUCCCGUUACUGUGGCAUAGCCCAGGGAAACUUGGAUUAAUACCACAUAUUAUAUAGAGAGGGCAUCCUUUUAUAUCAAAGCUUCGGCGGUAACGGAUGGGCGUGCGGUUGAUUAGGUAGUUGGCGGGGUAACGGCCCACCAAGCCUACGAUCAAUAGCUGAUGUGAGAGCAUGAUCAGCCACACGGGCACUGAGACACGGGCCCGACUCCUACGGGAGGCAGCAGUAAGGAAUAUUGGGCAAUGGGGGAGACCCUGACCCAGCGACGCCGCGUGAGGGAAGACGGCCUUCGGGUUGUAAACCUCUUUUGUACGGGAAGAUAAUGACGGUACUGUACGAAUAAGUCCCGGCUAACUACGUGCCAGCAGCCGCGGUAAGCUAGUCUACG